CCUACGGGAGGCAGCAGUGGGGAAUAUUGGGCAAUGGGCGCAAGCCUGACCCAGCAACGCCGCGUGAAGGAAGAAGGCUUUCGGGUUGUAAACUUCUUUUGUCAGGGACGAAGCAAGUGACGGUACCGGACGAAUAAGCCACGGCUAACUACGUGCCAGCAGCCGCGGGAAUACGUAGGGGGCAAGCGUUAUCCGGAUUUACUGGGUGUAAAGGGCGUGUAGGCGGGGCAGCAAGUCAGAUGUGACAACCACGGGCUCAACCUGUGGCCUGCAUUUGAAACUGUUUUUCUUGAGUACUGGAGCGCCAGACCGAAUUCCUAGUGUAGCGGUGAAAUGCGUAGAUAUUAGGAGGAACACCAGUGGCGAAGGCGGUCUGCUGGACAGCACCUGACGCUGAGGCGCGAAAGCGUGGGGAGCAAACAGGAUUAGAUACCCUUGUAGUC
rnacentral:rRNA from 1 species